CUCCAACCCCUCCUCAUUCAACGAAACACAUUCGACGCUCUCAUCUCCCUUCUAUCUAUCCUUCUAGGGCUUCUCCUCUCUCCGCCGUGUAAAGAAGCUCUACGACAACGCCGUUCUUCCUUCUAGGGCUUUUCCUCUCUCCGCCGGUUACAAUCCCUCCAUGCUCCGCAAUCGGGUCUUCCAUUGAAGCAUUGGAUUGACGUUGGUGCGGGGGUGAUUGACGCCGAUUACAGAGGACCGGUUGGGGUGAUACUGUUCAACCAGUCGACGAUCUCAGGUACUCUUAAUUUUAGCUUCUCAGGAAAGCAGAAACCAGCUUCUCAAUUUCCAUGGCUCCACCCAGGAAAUUGGAAAGUCUUGAAGCACUAAAGAAAACCUUUCAAGAAAUUGGAUCACAAUGUAAAAAUACAGGAUUUCUUGGGUUCAAGCAGUCAAACUGUGGAGGAAUUAACUCAUCAAGUAAGGCUUCUACAAAUGCAGCUAACAGAUGUACAUCAGAAACUGAGGUGAAACUUUGGAGCUUUUGGUUGUUAAAGUAUUUCUUUUUCUUCUUGAUGUUAUAUUAUUGCUCUCUAACUGAAUUAUUGUUGAUUUGACCUAGGCUUAGUUAUUUGUGACCUGAGUCAUUUUUCUGUGGAUUAGUUGUGCUAGUAAGUGAUAUGGUGACUAAAAUAUUAUAAAUUGAUAAAUAAUCAUACAAAUGGAUGUGUUAUGUAUUGUAUAGCUUUUUAGUAAUGAUUAAGAUAAAUCCACCCACAGUCCAUUUGUAUCGUGUCACGUUUUAUACAGAUCAUGAAGUUGAUUUAUACUUUGGAUUUUGUCACAAUUUGACCACUAUUUAGUAUUUUGAACCGAAAAUAUAUUUCUUUACUAGUCGACUUUUCUCGAAAGCCCCAGAUUUUCUUUGUUAGCAGUUGGGUAGAGCUUGCUUAAUAAUUUGAAUAUUUCCUGUGAUUUAAAAUGGAUGACAGUUUUUUAUCUUUUAAUUCAGAGUCUUCAUAGCAGAAGCAGUUGCCCUGAUUGCUCCUCCCAACCCCCAUAGCAAUAGACACACUGCUACCUCUUCUGUGCAAAUAAUAGAUUGCCAUUUAGAUAUGAAAUUGUACUCAAGCAUAGCAUUAAGAUGGUUUCAAAUCCAAAAUGUAUAAAUUGAUAUUUUGGUUUAUUCAUAUGGACACUUGUUGAUCAUCCUUCUAAUGUUGGCAUAAUUGCUGUUUCCUGUUCUUGGCUGUAUUGCUGUAUGAGGUUAACAAAAUCUCAGGAUCAGUGCUUUCAGUUCAAACAAGCGACUCCAGAAGUAAAAAGUAUAGUAGGAGAGACACUGCAUAGUUGCCUUCAGGGAUGAUACUAGGCUCUGAAAGGAGGACCUAUAUCAGCAGGCCUUCUGGAAGCUAUUGAAGGAUCACAGGUCACAAUCUGCUGAGAUUGAAAAUAGUCAAAGAGGUAACAAGCAUAGUGAGUCCCAAACAAUCAUCAAGUGUAUCUGAUGAUAUAGUUGGGAUGCAUUCUCCUCUACAUGAAUUAGAAAAGCUACUAGUUUUGGACUCACAAAAUUAAACAAUCAAAUCUUGAAGCAUGUGCCUGGCUUCAUUGAGAGAGCUGAGGAGCUAAAAGAAAAGGGUGUGGAGGAAUCAAUUUAGAUUACUGAUUACUUGGAACAAAGAUUUUACAAGAAUUUAUGUAAUGAAAACUUGGCUUCUGUGAACGUUAGUCUUGUGUAUAUAUAAAAAAUUGUUAUAGUUGUAUAUUUAUAGCGAAUUAUUUUUUUUUAUAUCCAAUACUAAAAAAUCAUAUAUUAUGUUUGAUACUUUGUA